rnacentral:pre_miRNA from 1 species
AAAGCAAGCCUCGCCCAACCAUGGCGAGGUCAAGCCUCACCAGAUCUGGCGACGAUGGCCUCGCCGUCGUUGGGUGAGGCUCGCCUU